rnacentral:rRNA from 1 species
CCUUGACAUACUAAGAACUUUCCAGAGAUGGAUUGGUGCCUUCGGGAACUUAGAUACAGGUGCUGCAUGGCUGUCGUCAGCUCGUGUCGUGAGAUGUUGGGUUAAGUCCCGCAACGAGCGCAACCCUUUUCCUAUUUGCCAGCGGGUCAUGCCGGGAACUUUAAGGAUACUGCCAGUGACAAACUGGAGGAAGGCGGGGACGACGUCAAGUCAUCAUGGCCCUUACGGCCAGGGCUACACACGUGCUACAAUGGUCGGUACAAAGGGUUGCUACCUCGCGAGAGGAUGCUAAUCUCAAAAAGCCGAUCGUAGUCCGGAUCGCAGUCUGCAACUCGACUGCGUGAAGUCGGAAUCGCUAGUAAUCGCGGAUCAGAAUGCCGCGGUGAAUACGUUCCCGGGCCUUGUACACACCGCCCGUCACACCAUGGGAGUUUGUUGCACCAGAAGUAGGUAGUCUAACCGCAAGGAGGACGCUUACCACGGUGUGGCCGAUGACUGGGGUGAAGUCGUAACAAGGUAGGCGUAGAUGA